UGUUCUGUGGCGAUAUUGGUUAACGCGUCCUGUCUAGCGAAUUAGGGACACGUGGGUUCAAAUCCCACCAGAACUA
rnacentral:tRNA from 1 species